rnacentral:rRNA from 1 species
UGAUAAGGGAAUCCUAAGUGCUUAUGCUUUGCAUAGGCUUUUGUCAAGAGCAAAAAUCUUGACGAAUAAAUGGUGGGUAAGACUGGUGCCAGCAGCCGCGGUAACACCAGCGCCAUGGGUGGCAAUCAUAAUUAUUGGGCCUAAAGCGUCCGUAGCCGGUCUAGUAGGUCUUCUGUGAAAUCGUUAUGCUUAACAUAACGGUAUGCAAAAGAUACCGCUAGACUAGGAACUAAGAGGAGUCAGAGGUAUUCUAAGGGGAGCGGUAAAAUGCUUUAAUCCUUGGAGGACCACCUGUGGCGAAAGCGUCUGACUAGAAUGGCUUCGACGGUGAGGGACGAAAGCCAGGGGAGCAAACCGGAUUAGAUACCCGAGUAGUCCUGGCCAUAAACGCUGCGAGCAAGGUGUUAUGCAUUCUUAGUGAAUGUGUGGUGUCGAAAUGAAGAUGUUAAGCUCGCCGCCAGGGAAGUAUGGUCGCAAGGCUGA